rnacentral:tRNA from 1 species
GCCUGGGUGGCUCAGUCGGUUAAGCAUCUGACUUUGGCUCAGGUCAUGAUCUUGCAGCUCGUGGGUUCAAGCCCCGUGUCAGGCU